rnacentral:rRNA from 1 species
GAUGAACGCUGGCGGCGUGCCUAAUACAUGCAAGUCGAACGCUUCACUUCGGUGAAGAGUGGCGAACGGGUGAGUAAUACCUAAGUAACCUGGCAUCUACAGGGGGAUAACUGAUGGAAACGUCAGCUAAGACCGCAUAGGUGUAGAGAUCGCAUGAACUCUAUAUGAAAAGUGCUACGGGACUGGUAGAUGAUGGACUUAUGGCGCAUUAGCUUGUUGGUAGGGUAACGGCCUACCAAGGCGACGAUGCGUAGCCGACCUGAGAGGGUGACCGGCCACACUGGGACUGAGACACGGCCCAGACUCCUACGGGAGGCAGCAGUAGGGAAUUUUCGGCAAUGGGGGAAACCCUGACCGAGCAACGCCGCGUGAAGGAAGAAGUAAUUCGGUAUGUAAACUUCUGUCAUAGAGGAAGAACGGGGGAUAUAGGGAAUGAUAUCCAAGUGACGGUACUCUAUAAGAAAGCCACGGCUAACUACGUG